GCCCGGGUGGUCUAGUGGUAAGGAAUCCUCAAACUCAAUUUUCACCCGACUUUCAUCUAACAAUCAUCCCAGGUAUGAUUCGCGCUUAGGGUUCACCCAAAGCAUUGACUGCGCGAGGUCCCCGGUUCGAUCCCGGGCUCGGGCC
rnacentral:tRNA from 1 species